GAAACGGCCUGCAGCUCGCUGUCUCAGCCUUUGCCCUGCCAGUCUUCCGUUUUUCGUAGCACCUCCGCUACGCAUUCUCAGACAUCGCCAGCGCUCGCUAAAGGUGUCGCAAGGGACUCGGCGGCGAAGGAAAAAGAGACGUGCUACCACACACGAGCGUGUGAGCUACUCCAAGGAGAUCUGUCCUCGUGCCGACAGCCAUGUGAUGCUCCAUAAACGAAUGGCGGGAACAAUCACUGGCUUGCCGCGGUGAAGCACCACUGCCUUCUCCUCCCCCGUCUUCGCCGAAGACGGGCGCGUCACCUUACCCGGUCAAACGUGCGGAGCUGACGUUACAUCCGUGGAUGGACGUUAAAAGGCCGAAGUCUCUUGCUCAGGCAGAGCCAAGACGGCAAAGAACCGCGGCGCUUUCCCCCUCGUAUCGCCGAUCGCGGUAUGUCCCCUUUUUGCGCUGAAGACAAAAAGGCCGAGCGCGCCCAAACUGUCGGCUCUGUCGCCAUACGGGGCUGCAGGGGGCGAAAGACUGGGGCCCUUCAACUGGAACGCUUUCCCGGACACCCCGGGGGGGUCACAAAGCCGCCUUUUGGUGGAUUCGUGCGGCGAUUGUAAAUUUUCCCCGCACCCACCCCCGACCUGGCCGCCCCAACGGCAGGUUAAAAGCCCUCCUCCCCCCACAGGGCAUAGCGGGAACCGAGGGCGGCGCCGGCGGCGGCAUUUAAUUCCCCGCCCACCAGGCCAAAGCGAAGGGGCUGUUGUAAGGCCGCGGUUGCGCUGGGGCAGUGCGCGAUGCUAGCGGCGAGAACGCCACCGCGCCUGACAGAGCCAACGCAGACCCGAGUUUCCACCAAGCCGUCCAUUGUGGCAGUGGGCUGCUUUGCCGCCGCGGCGGGCCGUGGGGGGGGGAGCGGCGGAGGAAAACAUGCAGACCAGAAACCCGGGGAGACGACGCAAGCCCGAAGACGACCGCGAAAGACAAAGCCGAACGAGACCCAGCGCCAAGAAGUGGCCCCAAGCGCCCAAGCCAGUUUCCCAGCCAGGAUGGGAAUGGGGGCGCUCGAAGGCGGUGACUCUGCCGCCGGCAAGGCUUCGAACGUGGAAAUCGACCGGGUCGCACAGCACUACUUUGCGGCCCCCGCCAUGCUGGGGCGCGAAACCCUCCCCGUCCUAACCACAUUGACGGCCAAGGAGGCCGAACAGCGGGCCGGCAAAACACACCUGCUUUGUUUCCAACUGUUUCUGCGCUGACCCCCCGGAUCGCGGGCGUCUGAAAGGGAUUUCGCCAUGGGAGGGCACCGCCGCACGCGCGAGACUCGGCGCCGCCAAAGUCUUUGCAUGAAAACCCGCCCCGAGCGAUCACAGCACGGCCCACACAUACAUAUGAGGCGUGCACUAGGCAACAGAGGGUGCAGCGACCACCGCUGGCUCACUCACUGGUGGCCACCUUCGCAGCGAGACAUUAAAAGCCGACAGAAGGUCGCCACGCACAGCACUGCCAACGAGACCUCGCGGACACCUGGCAGAGGGGGGGGGAAGCGAAAGCCUGGAUCCAUCACAAAGAGUUUUUUUUUUUUUCGGCGCCCAACGAAGGGCAAUGCGGAGAGAGACGACGCGCACCACCCCGGCGCUGACGAAGGCGAUGCACGGCAGAGGAAACCUCGAUGAGCGCCCGGCGGGCUCACCCGCACAUGUGCUGAUGGGCACACUCAUCGCAGUGGAAGAAAGGGUGGGGGUGAGAGGGCUGAUAUUCGUGGCGGGGGCGCGCACCAUCCUUCAACGCAUCAGAGUUGCCAAUCGUUCGAUGGCACCAGGCAAGGAAGCACGGCUGAUGAAAACGGGCGACGAACUCCUCCGCCUUGGCCUGGUGGGAGCAGACAUUCCUUGACAAGCGCUGCUGGUGGGGCGGGGCGCAGCGCUUGGUGUCCAACCCCAAGACGAUAGCGAAGCUGUCUUUGGCGACGGAAACGCGCAACGUUUGCCUGCCGCGCUUUUAUGCCCCCGCCGCCUCUUGGAGCGGGCGCCGUUCGCACGGAACGGCCCAGCAUGGCUCGGCCCCUCCAUCCUCCGCGAGCGCACGGCGGUUCUUGCUGUUUCGUGGGCAGCGGUAGGGGAUGAAAUUUCAACCUUUUUCCACUCCUCCCCUUCACUUUUGUGCGAGUGAGCCGAAACCCAG
rnacentral:misc_RNA from 1 species